rnacentral:rRNA from 1 species
AACGAACGCUGGCGGCAUGCCUAACACAUGCAAGUCGAACGAGAUCCUUCGGGGUCUAGUGGCGCACGGGUGCGUAACGCGUGGGAAUCUGCCCUUAGGUUCGGAAUAACAGUUAGAAAUGACUGCUAAUACCGGAUGAUGACGUUAAGUCCAAAGAUUUAUCGCCUGAGGAUGAGCCCGCGUAGGAUUAGCUAGUUGGUGUGGUAAAGGCGCACCAGGGCGACGAUCCUUAGCUGGUCUGAGAGGAUGAUCAGCCACACUGGGACUGAGACACGGCCCAGACUCCUACGGGAGGCAGCAGUGGGGAAUAUUGGACAAUGGGCGCAAGCCUGAUCCAGCAAUGCCGCGUGAGUGAUGAAGGCCUUAGGGUUGUAAAGCUCUUUUACCCGAGAUGAUAAUGACAGUAUCGGGAGAAUAAGCCCCGGCUAACUCCGUG